GGAAAUGUAGCUCAGUGGUAGUGCAUCUGCCUCACUUGCAGAAGACCCUCCCCUGCCCCAGUUCAAUCCCCAGCAUCUCCA